rnacentral:misc_RNA from 1 species
UUUCAAUUUCACCCUAAAGUCAGUGAAUCCAGCAAGGGUAUUAUAGUAAAUAUUUCUGUUUUUUUUUCUUACACUUUAAAAUAAUUAUUUAAAAGGCAUUGAUAGUCGUGAGUAGCAAGGAGGUUCUUUCUUUAGGAGGCCUUGGGCUUUGGUGCUGAUGGAAGCAACUGAUAACAUGAUAUCAAAGAGGUGACAAAUCCAAAUGCUCCAGUGACGCGAGGAGUUACUUUCUUAGGUGCCAACUGAAGCAGCCCGAUUGCAACAACGACAUCCAUGGCGGCUUUAAUCAGUGCAAGGGACCGCUCAUUCGUUUGCUGGACCUUUGCACGGUAUUUCUCAUCUUCAUAUUUAUUCCUGUUCUUAAGAUCCUUCUCCAGCUUUUUUCUUGCUGAGGAAAGCCUCCCAAGCUCUCCAAGCUCAACCAAUGUGGAACAAAUUGAUGAACCCAUCCAACAAAACACUGAUAUCCUGCCAAUCAGCUCUGCUCGUUCUUUG